UACAGAGGUCUCAAGCGUUGUUCGGAUUCAUUGGGCGUAAAGGGUGUGUAGGUGGCGCGCUAAGUCGGGUGUGAAAUUUCGGAGCUUAACUCCGAAACUGCAUUUGAUACUGGCGUGCUUGAGGACUGGAGAGGAGACUGGAAUUCCACGUGUAGCGGUGAAAUGCGUAGAGAUGUGGAGGAACACCGAUGGCGAAGGCAGCCUUCUGGGCCAACACUGACGCUCAUGCACGAAAGCGUGGGGAGCAAACAGG
rnacentral:rRNA from 1 species